UACGGAGGGGACUAGCGUUGUUCGGAAUUACUGGGCGUAAAGCGCACGUAGGCGGAUUUGUAAGUCAGGGGUGAAAUCCCGGGGCUCAACCCCGGAACUGCCUUUGAUACUGCAAAUCUCGAGUCCGGAAGAGGCUACUGGAAUUCCGAUGUGUAGCGGUGAAAUGCGUAGAUAUACGGAGGAACACCUGCGGCGAAGGCGGGUAGCUGGGCCAACACUGACGCUGAUGCGCGAAAGCUAGGGGAGCAAACGGG
rnacentral:rRNA from 1 species